AUUGAACGCUGGCGGCAGGCUUAACACAUGCAAGUCGAACGAGUGGCGGACGGGUGAGUAAUGCUUGGGAAUCUAGCUUAUGGAGGGGGAUAACUACGGGAAACUGUAGCUAAUACCGCGUACCAUCGGAUGUGCCCAAGUGGGAUUAGGUAGUUGGUGAGGUAAAGGCUCACCAGGGCGACGAUACAUAGCUGGUCUGAGAGGAUGACCAGCCACACUGGGACUGAGAAACGGUCCAGACUCCGACGGGAGGCAACAGUGGGUAAGAUUGCGCAAUGGGGGCAAGCCUGAUGCAGCCAUGCCGCGUGAAUGAAGAAGGCCUUCGGGUUGUAAAGUACUUUCAGCCGGGAGGCGUUACCGACAGAAGAAGCACCGGCUAACUCCGUGCCAGCAGCCGCGGUAAUAC
rnacentral:rRNA from 1 species